AAAGGUUCAUUCUUCAUCAACAUUCUGGAUUGCUGUGAUAUACUACUAGGUGUCACUCACAGACGGUGAGAGAAUAUGAAUGAUUUGAAUUGAAUUGUUCUUAUUUAUCGAUUAGAAGAGUUCUAAUUAAAUAUCAAAGAGUUUGAUGUUGAGCUCCACUGCCGAAUGGUAAUGAACCUAUACAAUCACACACAUUAGGAAUUGUGUGCACCUGAAUCGUUUGGAUGAAAGUCGUUCACUAAAGAGUUUAGUAUAAGCGAUGAAAAUAAAAAGAAACUGCUUAAUUAAAUUAGAUUUAAUUAUUCAAUUCGGUUGUAACUGAUAGUCCUAAUUAGAUUAAGAUCUCAGAAUCAGUUUGAGAAUUAUGCGCGAGAUUUAAAUUUAUCUCUAAUUAAAUUAGUGGAUAAUAUUUAAUCAUAAAAGAUAUUUAAAUGAGAUUUAAAUAUUAGUAAGUAAUCUUACUGGAUAAGAUUAAAAUUAGAUAAGAUCUAA
rnacentral:lncRNA from 1 species